rnacentral:rRNA from 1 species
AGUGAACGCUGGCGGUAGGCCUAACACAUGCAAGUCGAACGGCAGCACAGGAGAGCUUGCUCUCUGGGUGGCGAGUGGCGGACGGAUGAGGAGUACAUCGGAAUCUACUCUGUCGUGGGGGAUAACGUAGGGAAACUUACGCUAAUACCGCAUACGACCUACGGGUGAAAGCAGGGGACCUUCGGGCCUUGCGCGAUUGAAUGAGCCGAUGUCGGAUUAGCUAGUUGGCGGGGUAAAGGCCAACCAAGGCGACGAUCCGUAGCUGGUCUGGGAGGAUGAUAAGACAGACUGGAACUGGGACACGGUCCAGACUCGUACGGGAGGCAGCAGUGGUGAAUAUUGGACAAUGUGCGCAAGCCUGAUCCAGCCAUACCGCGUGGGUGAAGAAGGCCUUCGGGUUGUAAAGCCCUUUUGUUGGGAAAGAAAUCCAGCUGGCUAAUACCCGGUUGGGAUGACGGUACCCAAAGAAUAAGCACCGGCUAACUUCGUGCCAGCAGCCGCCGUAA